rnacentral:tRNA from 1 species
UGGGGGAUUGGCGGAAUUGGCAGACGCACUAGACUUAGGAUCUAGCGUCUUUAACGUAAGGGUUCAAGUCCCUUAUCCCCCACCAU